CCUACUCAUAUCCCUAUUGGCCAAAAGGCCACAGAACAUUCAGAAAGAUCUGGGGAAAGGGAAUAAUAACAUAUCUCAAAGUUACCCCCUCAGGGAAGACCAUGUGGCAACCCAAGAAGACCCAAGAGAAGAUCCACCCUGAUCUGAGAGACUCAUCUUCAUGGAAGAGAGCCAGUCAACACUAGAGAAGGAGAUUCCAACAGCCCAACUCAAAAAUGUGGAUCGUUGUGGGCAAUAUCCUCAAACAGAUAGAGCUGGAAAGAGAGACAAUAUUGUGGGAAUUUGGCUCUACUUGAGAAUCAUCAUUGGGAUCCAACCAUGAGAGAUAUUCAAAUCUGACUCCUCCAGCAAGCAAGCUGUUGCAUUUAUGCAAAGAAAUGGGGAUUGAGGAGGUCGCAAACCAGGUAAAGAAU